rnacentral:rRNA from 1 species
GGGUCAGUAGGUUGGUCGUGCCACCGGUACGUACUGGUCUCACUGAUUCCUCCUUCCUGAAGAACCGUAACGCCAUUAAUUUGGUGUUGCGGGGAAACAGGACUGUUACUUUGAAAAAAUUAGAGUGCUUAAAGCAAGCUAACGCUUGAAUACAUUAGCAUGGAAUAAUGAAAUAGGACGAUCGAUCCUAUUUUGUUGGUUUCUAGGAUUGACGUA